rnacentral:rRNA from 1 species
GUGAGGAAUUUUCCGCAAUGGGCGAAAGCCUGACGGAGCAAUGCCGCGUGAAGGAUGAAGGCCUAUGGGUUGUAAACUUCUUUUCUCAGAAAAGAAUUAUGACGGUAUCUGAGGAAUAAGCAUCGGCUAACUCUGUGCCAGCAGCCGCGGUAAGACAGAGGAUGCAAGCGUUAUCCGGAAUGAUUGGGCGCAAAGCGUCUGUAGGUUGUUUAAAAAGUAUUCUGUCAAAGAUUAGGGCUUAACCCUAGAUAGGCAGAAUAAACUUUUAAGCUAGAGUUUGGUAGAGGCAGAGGGAAUUCCCGGUGGAGCGGUGAAAUGCGUAGAUAUCGGGAGGAACACCAAAGGCGAAGGCACUCUGCUGGGCCAAUACUAACACUGAGAGACGAAAGCGAGGGGAGCAAAUGGGAUUAGAUACCCGUGUAGUCC